GACGAACGCUUUCGGCGUGCUUAACACAUGCAAGUCGAACGGAAAGGCCCUGCUUUUGUGGGGUGCUCGAGUGGCGAACGGGUGAGUAACACGUGAGUAACCUGCCCUUGACUUUGGGAUAACUUCAGGAAACUGGGGCUAAUACCGGAUAGGAGCUCCUGCUGCAUGGUGGGGGUUGGAAAGUUUCGGCGGUUGGGGAUGGACUCGCGGCUUAUCAGCUUGUUGGUGGGGUAGUGGCUUACCAAGGCUUUGACGGGUAGCCGGCCUGAGAGGGUGACCGGCCACAUUGGGACUGAGAUACGGCCCAGACUCCUACGGGAGGCAGCAGUGGGGAAUAUUGCACAAUGGGCGGAAGCCUGAUGCAGCAACGCCGCGUGCGGGAUGACGGCCUUCGGGUUGUAAACCGCUUUCGCCUGUGACGAAGCGUGAGUGACAGUAAUGGGUAAAGAAGCACCGGCUAACUACGUGCCAGCAGCCGCGGUGAUACGUAGGGUGCGAGCGUUGUCCGGAUUUAUUGGGCGUAAAGGGCUCGUAGGUGGUUGAUCGCGUCGGAAGUGUAAUCUUGGGGCUUAACCCUGAGCGUGCUUUCGAUACGGGUUGACUUGAGGAAGGUAGGGGAGAAUGGAAUUCCUGGUGGAGCGGUGGAAUGCGCAGAUAUCAGGAGGAACACCAGUGGCGAAGGCGGUUCUCUGGGCCUUUCCUGACGCUGAGGAGCGAAAGCGUGGGGAGCGAACAGGCUUAGAUACCCUGGUAGUCCACGCUGUAAACGGUGGGUACUAGGUGUGGGGUCCAUUCCACGGGUUCCGUGCCGUAGCUAACGCUUUAAGUACCCCGCCUGGGGAGUACGGCCGCAAGGCUAAAACUCAAAGGAAUUGACGGGGCCCCGCACAAGCGGCGGAGCAUGCGGAUUAAUUCGAUGCAACGCGUAGAACCUUACCUGGGUUUGACAUGGAUCGGGAGUGCUCAGAGAUGGGUGUGCCUCUUUUGGGGUCGGUUCACAGGUGGUGCAUGCCUGUCGUCAGCUCGUGUCGUGAGAUGUUGGGUUAAGUCCCGCAACGAGCGCAACCCUUGUUCACUGUUGCCAGCACGUUAUGGUGGGGACUCAGUGGAGACCGCCGGGGUCAACUCGGAGGAAGGUGGGGAUGACGUCAAGUCCUCAUGCCCCUUAUGUCCAGGGCUUCACGCAUGCUACAAUGGCUGGUACAGAGAGUGGCGAGCCUGUGAGGGUGAGCGAAUCUCGGAAAGCCGGUCUCAGUUCGGAUUGGGGUCUGCAACUCGACCUCAUGAAGUCGGAGUCGCUAGUAAUCGCAGAUCAGCAACGCUGCGGUGAAUACGUUCCCGGGGCU
rnacentral:rRNA from 1 species